rnacentral:rRNA from 1 species
AGCAGCCGCGGUAAUUCCAGCUCCAAUAGCGUAUAUUAAAGUUGUUGCAGUUAAAAAGCUCGUAGUUGAAUUUCGGGGUUAGUAGGUUGGUCAUGCCUCUGGUAUGUACUGGUCUCACUGAUUCCUCCUUCCUGAUGAACCUUAAUGCCAUUAAUUUGGUGUUUUGGGGAAUUUGGACUGUUACUUUGAAAAAAUUAGAGUGUUUAAAGCAAGCUAACGCUUGAAUACAUUAGCAUGGAAUAAUGAAAUAGGACGUUCGAUCCUAUUUUGUUGGUUUCUAGGAUUGACGUAAUGAUUAAUAGGGAUAGUUGGGGGCAUUAGUAUUCAAUUGUCAGAGGUGAAAUUCUUGGAUUUAUUGAAGACUAACUACUGCGAAAGCAUUUGCCAAGGAUGUUUUCAUUAAUCAAGAACGAAAGUUAGGGGAUCGAAGACGAUCAGAUACCGUCGUAGUCUUAACCAUAAACUAUGCCGACUAGGGAUCGGAUGAUGUUAAUUUUUAAUGUACUCAUUCGGCG